GGGGGCGACAGGUUUCGACGGGAUCACUAAUGUUAAGCCUGCGCGCCGAGGUUCCAGUUUGCCUCGUUAAUCAACUGGGAACACUUUAAGUGCCAACGAUUAUUCGUACGCACUGGCCGCCUAAGACACUGGUGGCUCGUCUUACUUGAGCUUGCUUAUCGGCUUGGGAUAAGGCGUCGAUUCAGAUAAGAUAGCGACCAUUCUUGCCUUCGGACCGGCCGCGAAAUAACAGAAGGAUAGGUUGUCAGAAAGCCUGGUUAUCAGCGAUCUGACGAGCGAGACUCAAGUGGAUAACCUAUGCGCGUAGACGGUUUUUCUGAGGUAUCUUCGGACGGGGGUUCGAUUCCCCCCGCCUCCA
rnacentral:tmRNA from 1 species